CUGCAGGCCGUGAAAGGCGCCCCACUGGUGAAGGCCCUGCCUGUGAACCCCACGGACCCGGCUGUCACCGGCCCCGACAUCUUCGCCAAGCUGGUUCCCAUGGCCGCCCACGAGGCCUCCUCGCUCUACAGCGAGGAGAAGGCCAAGCUGCUGCAGGAUG